GACGAACGCUGGCGGCGUGCCUAACACAUGCAAGUCGAGCGGAGACAGUGAGUAGCUUGCUACGAGCUGUUUUAGCGGCGGACGGGUGAGUAACGCGUGAGCAACCUUUCCCAGACAGGGGAAUAACACACCGAAAGGUGUACUAAUACCGCAUAAGACCACGGGAUCACAUGGUUCUGGGGUAAAAGAUUUAUCGGUUUGGGGUGGGCUCGCGUCCGAUUAGGUAGUUGGUGAGGUAACGGCCCACCAAGCCGACGAUCGGUAGCCGACCUGAGAGGGUGAUCGGCCACAUUGGGACUGAGACACGGCCCAAACUCCUACGGGAGGCAGCAGUGGGGAAUAUUGGGCAAUGGAGGAAACUCUGACCCAGCAACGCCGCGUGGAGGAAGAAGGUUUUCGGAUCGUAAACUCCUGUC
rnacentral:rRNA from 1 species